rnacentral:rRNA from 1 species
UACGGGGGGAGCAAGCGUUGUUCGGAUUUACUGGGCGUAAAGGGCGCGUAGGCGGCCAGCACAAGUCAGUUGUGAAAUCUCCGAGCUUAACUCGGAAAGGUCAACUGAUACUGUGCGGCUAGAGUGCGGAAGGGGCAACUGGAAUUCUUGGUGUAGCGGUGAAAUGCGCAGAUAUCAGGAGGAACACCAAUGGCGAAGGCAGCUCUCUGGUACAUGAUUGACGCUGAGACGCGAAAGCGUGGGGAGCGAACAGG